UGUUAUGCUGCUGUUUCUGGUGUCUAUUGAAGAUGGUUGAUGGGUGCUGGUGGAACUGGUAACACAUCUUGGUGGUGCCAUGUCAUGGAAAAGGAGAAAUUGAACUCAGGGAGGUGGUUUCGAGUUGAGCAAAUGGGUUGUGUUUGAGUUGUAAGAACUGAUAUUGUGUGCAAUGGUUCCAGUGGUGCUGUUGUCGCGGUGAUGGUUGCAGUCAUGAUGAAGCUGACUUGGAAUUGCAGGUGGAAUUGAAGCGCGGUGAUGGUUGCAGUCAUGAUGAAGCUGACUUGGAAUUGCAGGUGGAAUUGAAGCUAAAACCGAUGGAGUUGCAGUUGCAGUUGGAGAGUCGGAUGCAGAUGAAGAAUGAUUACAGGGAAUGUUUUGAUUUGCAUGAGCUGGUCAGCAGGGAAUGGUUGUAGAACUGGUGUGAUGCAUGAAGUUGCAGCAUAGCUGAGUUUGCACUGCUGCAAAAGAGUGAAGCAGAAACUGUAAUAAGACAGCGAUCAGCAACUACAACUAUUGGAAUAAACUGACGAAAAUAAUUGACUAUAGGGAAAGCAGGGGUCAGGUGCAGGGUGGGAAGUCUUCAUGGAUGAGUAACAAUAUUCCUUAUUGGUGCAUUCAACCUUUGUUAUCAACAGAAGAUGAAGGAGGUAACAAAAAAGAUGGAGAUAACGAAGUAGGAAAGCAAGUGGGAAAAAAAGAUGCAACAAAUGAAGGCAACAUCGACAAACAACUCAUAAAUUUUGCAACAAACUUGUUUCGUAUUUUCAGAACUUUAAAACGUAAUAUCUUUAAGGCAGCCUAUGCUACCAGGUUUAGUGGACAUGAUGACAUCAAUCUACACAUUCCAGCUUUGGGAAUAGGAUGGGAAAAAAUUAUACCGAAAUUUUUUAUCCUCGUGAAUUGUGAUGAUAGGUGGGAAUUUUUCCUAACCAACGGAAAUGUAAUGUCAUUCUUUUAUAAAUAAAUAAAAAAUCAUCUUA